CAAAACUUUUGUUUUUAUCAACCCACCAACCAACCAACCAAUCAGAUGUCAUAUUUACCCGUUGUAGGACACGGUCAGACCAGCCACCUGAACGUUGUCACACUUAGUGCCAGACUGCAGAGGGAGGAGGAGGUAGGCCAUGAAGGAGGUGACGAAAGACAGCUGGGCUCCAGACACAACGCCAAGCUUAUACCUCUUCGUCAGUAGACCUCCCAGGAAUAUCCCCACUGCACCCACAGGCAGGUUCAACUCACCUGAUCACAGUCAUGUCAACAGUGGGCAUCAGGCUUGUAAGAGACAUGAAUUAUCUGUGAGAUUCAGUGAACAAGGCUAGAAGGACUGGGUAUUGGCUCCUACGGGUUACUCUGCCUUCCACUGUGAUGGAGAAUGUCUCUACCCUCUGUGUUCCUGCAUGAACUCCACCACCCACACUAUGAUCCAACUAGUGGUCAGUAUGCACUACUACACCCUCUCUCACAUGAACGCUCACAUUACUGGUUUCAGUGGGAAAGACGGGAAAUGGUUCAGACAUUAAUGGCAAAUAUAAAAAACUAAGAUUGCCAUUGUAGACUCCGGUAACUUGGGUGACUGUUAAUGUAGAGUAGGGAUAGUGAGAAGUAACAUUCAAGACUGAAGAAAUGAUCCCCUCUAGUGGUAUACUUUAUACUGUACCAGGUUACUACACACACUGAUAAUACAAAACAUUGAGGACACCUGCUCUUUCCCAUGACAUAGACUGACCAAGUUAAAGCUAUGACCCCUUAUUGAUGUCACUUGUUGAAUCUACUUCAAUCAGUGUAGAUGAAGGGGAGUUAAAGAAUGAUUUUAAAACCUUGAGAGAAUUGAGACAUGGAUUGUGUGUGUCAUUCAGAGGGUGAUUCAGCAAGAGAAAAGAUUUAACUGUCUUUGAACGGGGUAUGUUAGUAGGUGCCAGGUGCACCGGGUUAAGUGUGUCAAGAACUGCACCACUGCUGUUUUUUUUCAUGCUCAACAGUUUCCCAUGUGUCUCAAGAAUGGUCCACCACCCAAAGGACGUCCAGCCAACACAACAUGGGCCAGCACCCUUGUGGAACGCUUAGGGCAGCUUGUCGAGUCCAUGCCCAGAGGAAAUUAGGCUGUUCUGAGGGGAAAAGAGUGUGCAACUCAAUAUUAGGAAGAUGUUCCUAGUCUAUUGUGGACUCAGUGUAUGUCAUCCUACAUGUUUUUAAAUAGUACAGU
rnacentral:lncRNA from 1 species